GGAUGCCGAUCAUACCAGCAUAAUGCACGCCGACCCAUCAGAACUCGAAGGUAAGCGUGCAUUGAGGGAGGUAUUACUAGGAUGGGGACCCCCUGGGAAGUCCUCGUGUUGCAUCCC
rnacentral:rRNA from 1 species